CCCUUAGAUGUUCUGGGCCGCACGCGCGCUACACUGACGAAUGCAACGAGCUUAUAACCUUGGCCGAAAGGUCUGGGUAAUCUCCAAAUUUCGUCGUGAUGGGGAUAGAUUAUUGCAAUUAUUAAUCUUCAACGAGGAAUGCUUAGUAAGCGCAAGUCAUCAGCUUGCGUUGAUUACGUCCCUGCCCUUUGUACACACCGUCCGUCGCUCCUACCGAUUGAAUGGUCCGGUGAAGCGUUCGGACCGUGGCCUUUGGACGGUUCGCCGUCUGUUGGCUGCGGGAAGUUCGUUAAACCUUAUCAUUUAGAGGAAGGAGAAGUCGUAACA
rnacentral:rRNA from 1 species